UAGUCUAUAACGCUUAGAUCAUAGCCGCAAAUAGACGGGGAUUUCCCUGUUGGACAUUUUGUUAAAUAUUUCCUUUCAUUUUGUCUCGCCAUUUUUGUUGAUCAGAGCAGAAGCAAUUUGUAAAUCUGUUACUAUAACAACACCACGAUGUCUGAUAUGUCACUUCAACAGAUUGUCAAUCACCAGAGUCUUAAUUUCCACCUCCCUUGUAAUGUACAAAUAGGUGAACACAACAUACAAAAUAAUCCGACUAACCAACUGAAAGAAGAUGUUGACAGGAUGAAGAAUGAGAUACAACAACUCAAGUUGGACAAUCAGAAUCAAGCUGAUAAGAUACAGAAACUCCAAUCAGACAAACAGAAUCAAGCUGACAAAAUACAACAACUUGAGUCAAGGGUUAAAGUUGUGGAAGAUAAAACAGGAGUCAAGAAAGUAAAUAAAAAAAUAAAUAAAGCAGAGGAUGAUAUGAUAACUCUUAAUGUAAGAAAUAUUAUUUACAGUAUUUGCGGUAGUGAGUAUUAUAUGAUGGCUAUAAGUGUUAGUAGAGAUAAAACUAUAAGUGAACUAGAAUCUAUAAUACAGGAGGAGUAUAGAAGGAAGUAUGGUACAGAUGGUGUUUGUUGUAUUUGUAAUAUCUACAGUGUAAAACAGGAGAAGAUCAUCUACCUCUGUAACAUCAACAACAAUGAUCUACCUUUAUCACAUCAUGGUGUAGGUGAUGGUGAUAAAGUCAGAUUUCGAUUCUAGUCUGUUUGAUUAUAUUGAGUUAAUAGUAUUAUAAUUAUAUAGUAUUUACUAUAAAACAAUAUUAAAGAUUAUUAUAUUAUGUAGAAUAUAAGUAUUGUGGUGCUAUAUUGAAUUGUACUAACUAUAAAGCUUGAUCAUUAUUCUUAUAUUAUUAUUAUGGCUGUAUAUAUAUAUAGUGAAGGGAAUCACGUGGCUAAGUGGGUAAGACGCUAGCUCGCUAGCCUGGAGGUCGGGUGUUCGAUCCCUGCAUUGGCCGAGAAAGUUCAUCCAGAUUUUCCGGCGUGGUUCUCCCUUGUCAGUGAUGAAGGACGGAGGGCCUGACAAGAAAAGCUGUCUAGUCGUUCGGAUGGGACGAAAAACCGAGGUCCCGUGUACACUUUGGCGUGCACGUAAAAGAUCCCUUGGCAGUUGGAAUUCGAUAUAAGAGUAGGCCGUAGUGCCGCUGUCCGGGCAAAAUUUCCCUCAUAGCACACUGUAUGGCGUAUGCCCGUCUUCAUUAGCCCAGGUUAGGAGCAGAACAGUAGGACGGUAAACCCCAUUUCAUUUCAUUUCAUAUAUAGUGAAUCACUAUAUAUAUAUAUACAGCCAUAAUAAUAAUAUAAUAAUAACGAUCAUAGCCCUAAUAGUAGUUUAAAUGACAGAUUUAUUAUAUAAUUAUAAAGACUGUGAAUAUAAUAUCAUCAUAGCAUAUUUUAGUAUUUUAUGAUAAACAUAAACGUGUAAUUGAUGACGGAAUAAAAAAAGGCAGAAAGAAAUAUAUGACUUUAUAUAAAUAAUUCUCAAAAUUCAGUAAAAUGCACGAUAGGUGUCCUAAAUGCUUUUGUCCGUACAUGGAUUCGCCAUGUUAACCUAAUUUUUUGAUUUUCAAAUGGAUUACAAUCUGAUGUUUUUCGAGUUGUCUUUAUAUAUUUUACUGGACUAAAUUGUAUCUAGCAUCUGGC